rnacentral:rRNA from 1 species
AUUGAGCGCUGGCGGCAGGCCUAACACAUGCAAGUCGAGCGGAUGAAGAGAGCUUGCUCUCUGAUUCAGCGGCGGACGGGUGAGUAAUGCCUAGGAAUCUGCCUGGUAGUGGGGGACAACGUUUCGAAACGAACGCUAAUACCGCAUACGUCCUACGGGAGAAAGUGGGGGAUCUUCGGACCUCACGCUAUCAGAUGAGCCUAGGUACGAUUAGCUAGUUGGUGAGGUAAAGGCUCACCAAGGCGACGAUCGUUAACUGGUCUGAGAGGAUGAUCAGUCACACUGGGACUGAGACACGGUCCAGAGUCCUACGGGAGGCAGCAGUGGGGAAUAUUGGACAAUGGGCGAAAGCCUGAUCCAGCCAUGCCGCGUGUGUGAAGAAGGUCUUCGGAUUGUAAAGCACUUUAAGUUGGGAGGAAGGGCAGUAAGUUAAUACCUUGCUGUUUUGACGUUACCGACAGAAUAAGCACCGGCUAACUUCGUGCCAGCAGCCGCCGUAA